rnacentral:rRNA from 1 species
AACGAACGCUGGCGGCAUGCCUAACACAUGCAAGUCGAACGAUACCUUCGGGAGUAGUGGCUCAUGGGUGCGUAACGCGUCGGAACCUUCCCUUAUAUUCGGAAUAACUCCUCGAAAGGGGUGCUAAUACCGGAUAAUGUCUUCUAACCCAAGAUUUAUCGCCUUUGUAGGGGCCGGCGUUCGAUUAGCUAUUUGGUAGGGUAAAAGCCUACCAAGGAUACGAUCCAUAGCUGGUCUGAGAGGAUGACCAGCCACCCUGGGACUGGGACACGGCCCAGAAUCUUGGGGAAGGGAGCAGUGGGGAAUAUUGGACAACGGGUGAGAGAAUGAUGCAGCAAGGCCGCGUGAGUCAUUAAGGCGUGAAGGUUGUAAAGCUGUUUUAAACGGGAUGAUAAUGACAGUACCGGAAGAAUAAGCUCCGGCUAACUACGUG